AAGAAGACCUAGAGAAAAGGAGAAAAGAAUUAUUCGAGAACCCUCUUUGGACUGGGAUGAAUGGGUUCCUGCCCUACCUUCUUCCCCUCCUGGGGCCCUUACUGGGUCUUCUUUUGAUUGCAACCUUGGGACCUUGUGUUGCAAAUAGGAUAACUCAAUUCAUUAAGGACCAGAUUAACAUUUUAACCUCCAAGCCAAUACAGGUUCACUACCAACGCCUGGAGAUGGACGACUCCGCCCACGAGGUGUACUUACGACCCAUCCGGAGAUGAGAUGUAACUGGACAGGAGCCAAUACCCGAGCCCUCCUAUGUAUGCCUGCUUUUGCCCAGGUCCCUAAUUACCCUGCCGACUUGGUGCCGUCAUUCCAGACCCUUACGUUCAGAAAGCUCCCUGGUCAUAGCUAUCCCACUGGCAAAGAUGAUGACUGGGAUCCGCAGUUGUGUCCUGCUGGCCAUGGCAUCCUAACUGAAAAGUGUCCGUUUACGUAGGACAAGAGCUGAUCUUGUAGUACCCAGUGACGGGCAACUUCCACGCUUGCACUGCAACCUAAGCCAGGGGAAUGGGGCCUCCCC
rnacentral:lncRNA from 1 species